GUGAAGUGAUCUUAUGAAUAUACAUUUUGCUACAUCAGCAUCACCAAAAUCAAAAUAACACAACUAUGCUUUAUUCCUAAUUAGGAAAAAUAUUUUUGUGAUAUCUUGACUACAUUUAGAACAAGACCAGUCUGCAGCUGCAGCACAGCCCUCACUGACCCAGCCAUCCCCUAACCCGUGUCUGGUGCUUGGCAGCCA
rnacentral:lncRNA from 1 species